rnacentral:misc_RNA from 1 species
UCCGAGUUGACCCCGGCAGUCUCCUAUGAGUCCCCACCAUUACGUGCUGGCAACAUAGGACGAGGGUUGCGCUCGUUGCGGGACUUAACCCAACAUCUCACGACGCGAGCUGACGACAGCCAUGCACCACCUGUCACCGCCCCCGAAGGACCCGACAUCUCUGCCGGUUUUGCGGUGAUGUCAAACCCAGGUAAGGUUCUUCGCGUUGCAUCGAAUUAAUCCGCAUGCUCCGCCGCUUGUGCGGGCCCCCGUCAAUUCCUUUGAGUUUUAGCCUUGCGGCCGUACUCCCCAGGCGGGGCACUUAAUGCGUUAGCGACGGCGCGGAUCUCGUUGGUUGAGACCCACACCUAGUGCCCAUCGUUUACAGCGUGGACUAC